GUACAUCUUGUCUCUGAAAUUUUUGUUCUAAAUAGAGAUAAAAGAAAAGAGACAAGAUGAGAAAAAAAAAGAAGAUAAAAAAGAGAAAAAAAAAUUGUGAAUAGUGGAGUCAAGAAGAGGAUUGAAUUAGAGGUUUUGGGUGUGAUUUGACUGUGUUUACAAUUGUUCCCCUAUGCUCCUCUAUUCCUUUUGGUUUAUAGUUUCUCAUCCAUAUUUAUCCUCCCUUGUCCUUGGC
rnacentral:lncRNA from 1 species